UUUAAUUAAUAAAAGGCCAUGCAUUACUGUAAUUUUAUCAUCAGUAAGGAGUGAACAAUGCAAAUAAUUAUAACAGAAUUACAUUCACAGAAAUGUUAAGUUAGUAUCAUAAUGGUGAAGUUUAGUAAUAUGUAUCACUUUAUAUUUCAGUGUAGUAAGGAAAACUAUAGAGCUGCAACAUCUCAGCAGUUGCUACAACAUCAAGUUUUUUUUUAUGGAAUGUUAUUUAUUAUAACUUAUUUAUCUUUUUUUUUUUUCUUUUUUUCAAUCAAAAAUAUUAACCUCUUAACUAUCACCCAUCCCCUCUGUGGGACGCCUAAGUUUACUUCACUUUUUUGACAAUUAAAUCCUAAUCUCAUCAUGACAGACUAUAUAUCAUUGGAAAGGUCUAAGACUCCUAAAUAGAUAUUUUUUUAUAUGUCAUAAUUUAUGACAAGAGUGCACCUCAAAAAUCUACAUCAUAAUAACAGGAGUUUUGACCUUUGUUAAAAAAAUGUUGUCUUCAUUGCCAUUUUCUCUAUCACACUUUAGAAAUUACAGGUAUAUAUCAAUUGAAAACUUAAAAUCUCAAAAUUCAUCCUUUGAAAACCAUUUUAAAAUCAGACAAAUUCAGAGUUUACAGGAGACAGAUGUGAGAGACCCAGAAUCUCCUGAGCUUAGGAAGAGCAACCACUGAACAUUUUUUCUUCUGGGCUCAGGCGUUGCAUUAAAACACUCACACAGCAGUGUAAACCAGUAAAAAGAUGUUAAAAUCUGUUGAAACGUCAUCACAGUCUGUGCCCAGACAGCAAGCAGUUUCGGCCCAGAUCCGGCCCACAUCUGGCCCGCAUGGAUUUCACACGGGCCAGAUGUGGGCCGGAUCUAGGCCGAAACUGCUUGCUGUCUGGGGGAAGACUUCAUUUGAUGGGGAUUUUUCAGUGAUUCUUUCUACAGGUUAUUUUCAUUGUUAUACCAGUAGGUGGCAUUAGUGACUUUAGGGGUGAAUCAUUUGAUUCGUUAAUCGUUAACUGAAAUGAUCAACAACAACACUGAUUCACUCAGGAUCAAAACACUUCUGUUGUGUUUGCUUUGACUGUUUGAAAUAAUUUUCAUUGGAGGUUCAGCUAGCAAUAGUGUGUCUAAAAUGUAAGUUACUUAAAUAAUUAUAUAUUGAUCUGCACUAAUCACAAUCGUACUUUGACCUUGAUUACAGCGUUAUUGCUAUUUCGACCAACAGCACGAUUGCAAGUAUGAUACUGAGAAUGAAAAGACAGUGAAGUUAUAUGAGAGACAUGAAAGUAGCACACUACGUAAAAUGUUUGUUUUGAACAAUGACCAGUUAGUGCAAUUAUACAAAUAU
ensembl:lncRNA